AAUGAACGCUGGCGGCGUGCCUAACACAUGCAAGUCGAACGGAAGGACAGUAAGCUUUUGCCUUUACUGGUGGCGGGGGGCGGGCGAGUGAGGCGUGCAUCACCAUCUUCUAUUUCGGGGAUGAUAACGUAAGGAAGGUUACGCUAAUACAGCAUAUGAUGAACCGCAGAGAGCAGGGGAUAAUCACAGCUUUCGUGUCUGUAUUAGCCGGUGCCGGACUGGCUAGUUGGUUGGGUAAAGGCCCACCAAGGCGACGAUACGUAGCCGACCUGAGAGGGUGAUCAGCCACACUGGAACUGAGACACGGUCCAGACUCCUACGGGAGGCAGCAGUAGGGAAUGUUGGGCAAUGGGCGCAAGCCUGACGCAGCCAUGCCGCGUGGGUGAUGAAGGCCUUCGGGUCGUAAAGCCCUUUUGUUGGGAAAGAACAGCUGUGGGUUAAAACGUGGCUAUCUUGACGGUACCCAAUGAAAAAGCACCGGCUAACUACGUG
rnacentral:rRNA from 1 species